UGAGCGGCAAAAGCUCAAAUUUGAAAUCCUUCGGGAGUUGUAAUUUGUAGGUUGGGAGACCCCGCGGCUAGUGGCACCAAGUCCCUUGGAACAGGGCGCCUUAGAGGGUGAGAGCCCCGUAGGUACCACAACACCGUCUUGUGUCUCCUCUCCAAAGAGUCGAGUUGUUUGGGAAUGCAGCUCAAAGUGGGGUGGUAAAUUCCAUCUAAAGCUAAAUACCGGCGAGAGACCGAUAGCRAMAAGUACAGUGAUGGAAAGAUGAAAGCAC
rnacentral:rRNA from 1 species